ensembl:lncRNA
UAUACAUCACUGGAUUCCAGUAGCUAGUCGAAUGAGCUUCCUGUGGUAAGACAGUACACUACAUAAAAACAGCUGACAUUUUUUUCCCAGCACACUGCAAGAUCAAAAACCAGUAUUGCUACCUUUAUGAUAACAAUACAAGUGUCAUAGGUCAUCAUGGCCUUGUUGGGCAUAGGUGAAAUGGCCCAACCCUAUUCCUGCUGUCCAUUGUUUCGCAGUUGUUGUUUUUAUCAAACAGUCUGACUGUGGAAAGAUUUAGUAUGUAAUACUCAGCCUGUAUAACAAAUGUUAGUACCAUAAAAGAAAGACUGGGUGACAGUAAAUUUCCACUCGUACUCUGAGUUAAAGAUAAUGUAAUGCACCAUAAUCUUCUUGAUGCAUGCUCAAUCAUCCAGGUAAGUAAAUCUCCGAAAGUUGAUUCUGUUCAUCUGGACAUAGUGUUUUCAGUGGGAGAAACGUUUUGUCACUCAUCUCAUCCCAGUUCCUUCAUCGUAGAAUAGAAUAGAAUAAACCUUUAUUAUCCCACGGUUGAAAAAUGUCGGUGUUACAGAGCUCUUACAGCAAGGGAAAAUAAAAUAUAAAAGGAAGACACAAGGUGUCCUAUAGACAUAAGCAACCGAAGUUUGUAUAUACAGGUAUAUACAGGCAACAAUGUACAGAAUAUGUAUAGAAAAAUUGAAAAAAAUGUAUGGAGAUAUGUAUAAAAUGCACAGGGUUAUGUAUAAAAUCUACAGAGCUAUGUAUAAAAUGUACAGUAAACAAACAAGCUGGUGAGUAAGAUGACCAAAAGAAUGUUAAGCUGCAUUAUAGACUCAUUAAUUAUGCAAAUUCUCAUGACCAUUGAUCAACAACCACUGAUCAAAGCCCACUGGUCAAUGGCCAUGAGUACCAUUCACAGAGAGUUGGGGAAUGGCUGCAAUCACAGCAUUGUAUGAUGGCGAAAGAUGUACCCUUAGGCCCCCUCCUCGAUUCAGAGAUGGUCUUUCCCUUUUCACGUAAAUUGACUCCGCGCUCAAACCAACGUUCCUCCCUGUCCAGGAUGUGUACAUCCUCAUCAUUGAAAAAGUGUCCACAGGACUGCAGAGUCCUGGCCUGACGAGGUAGCUCUUCUGUGUUGUGUCAUCCGCUUCGCCAGAGGUUGUUUGAUUUACCCAAUGAAUAAGUCCUGGCAAUCCUCCUGGCACUUAACAGUGUACACUAUAUGUUUGUAAGUUUAUAAGACUGGGGAAACAUGCAGUCAGCUGAGAUUGAAGAAGUCACUUGGAUGAGUGAUGAAAUGUUUCUCCCACUGAAAACGCUAAGUCCAGAUGAACAGAAUCAACUUUUGGAGAAUGCACCAUAAUGCAGCAAUGUCAAUGUCAACAUUUAUUUUUCUCACAAGGUCUGUACAGGAUGCUUGUACAUUUGAAAGAAAGCUUCAGUCAUAUUAUUCUUUUUGAAAAUACAAGAACACAAGUGAAAUAUGAAUGUGUAAGAUAAUUUUUAUUUAUGUGUAAUUUAUUACGAUUGGUGAUUCGAUAUCAUUGAAUUGGACGGAUCUUAUUCCCUCUCAACAUUAUGUGGAAACAGUAUUGUGUGUAGAGAUGGCACGAUACCACUUUUUUAUGUCCGAUACCGAUAUCAUAAAUUUGGAUAUCUGCCGAUACCGAUAUGAAUCCGAUAUAGUGUGUUUUUUAAUGAAUAAAACUGUUUUUUAAUAUCUUG